rnacentral:rRNA from 1 species
GGUCCAGACUCCUACGGGAGGCAGCAGUGGGGAAUAUUGGGCAAUGGGCGCAAGCCUGACCCAGCAACGCCGCGUGAAGGAAGAAGGCUUUCGGGUUGUAAACUUCUUUUCUGAGGGACGAAGCAAGUGACGGUACCUUAGGAAUAAGCCACGGCUAACUACGUGCCAGCAGCCGCGGUAAUACGUAGGUGGCAAGCGUUAUCCGGAUUUACUGGGUGUAAAGGGCGUGUAGGCGGAAAAGCAAGUCAGAUGUGAAAACCACGGGCUCAACCUGUGGCCUGCAUUUGAAACUGUUUUUCUUGAGUACUGGAGAGGCAGACGGAAUUCCUAGUGUAGCGGUGAAAGGCGUAGAUAUUAGGAGGAACACCAGUGGCGAAGGAGGUCUGCUGGACAGCAACUGACGCUGAGGCGCGAAAGCGUGGGGAGCAAACAGGAUUAGAUACCCCGGUAGAC